AUUGAACGCUGGCGGCAUGCCUUACACAUGCAAGUCGAACGGUAACGGGCCUUCGGGUGCCGACGAGUGGCGAACGGGUGAGUAAUACAUCGGAACGUGCCCGAUCGUGGGGGAUAACGAGGCGAAAGCUUUGCUAAUACCGCAUACGAUCUACGGAUGAAAGCAGGGGACCGCAAGGCCUUGCGCGGACGGAGCGGCCGAUGGCAGAUUAGGUAGUUGGUGGGAUAAAAGCUUACCAAGCCGACGAUCUGUAGCUGGUCUGAGAGGAUGAUCAGCCACACUGGGACUGAGACACGGCCCAGACUCCUACGGGAGGCAGCAGUGGGGAAUUUUGGACAAUGGGCGCAAGCCUGAUCCAGCCAUGCCGCGUGCAGGAUGAAGGCCUUCGGGUUGUAAACUGCUUUUGUACGGAACGAAAAGCUUUCUUUUAAUACAGGAGGGUCAUGACGGUACCGGAAGAAUAAGCACCGGCUAACUACGUG
rnacentral:rRNA from 1 species